GAUGAACGCUGGCGGCGCGCCUAAUACAUGCAAGUCGAGCGAACGGACGAGAAGCUUGCUUCUCUGAUGUUAGCGGCGGACGGGUGAGUAACACGUGGAUAACCUACCUAUAAGACUGGGAUAACUUCGGGAAACCGGAGCUAAUACCGGAUAAUAGUUUGAACCGCAUGGUUCAAAAGUGAAAGACGGUCUUGCUGUCACUUAUAGAUGGAUCCGCGCUGCAUUAGCUAGUUGGUAAGGUAACGGCGUACCAAGGCAACGAUGCAUAGCCGACCUGAGCGGGUGAGCGGCCACACUGGAACUGAGACACGGUCCCGACUCCUACGGGAGGCAGCAGCAGGGAAUCUUCCGCAAUGGGCGAAAGCCUGACGGAGCAACGCCGCGCGAGUGAUGAAGGUCUUCGGCUCGUAAAACUCUGUUAUUAGGGAAGAACAUAUGUGUAAGUAACUGUGAACAUCUUGACGGUACCUAAUCAGAAAGCCACGGCUAACUACGUG
rnacentral:rRNA from 1 species